rnacentral:rRNA from 1 species
GGAAGUGGGGAUGACGUCAAGUCCUCAUGGCCCUUAUGGUAGGGCUUCACACGUCAUACAAUGGUCGGUACAGAGGGUUGCCAAGCCGUGAGGCGGAGCCAAUCCCACAAAGCCGAUCGUAGUCCGGAUUGUUCUCUGCAACUCGAGAGCAUGAAGUCGGAAUCGCUAGCAAUCGCAGGUCAGCAUACUGCGGUGAAUACCGGUUCCCGGGUCUU